CCGAAGUUGGCCCCGUGGAGUAAAAUACUGCUGAAAAACGCUCGGUCCACGUUGCUGCGUCUCUUUCUCCGUUUUACGUCCCGUCGCCUUCUUAGGCUGCUGUUGGCCAUCGUUCGUUGCAGGCGCGGCAGGCCGGAUGGAGUCUUCUCCGCCUGGCCUCCGCUGCUGCUGCUGACCCGGCCUUCGGCGGCCCGAAGAGAGGGGAGGAAGAAGGCCCCAGACACACCACCGCACGGGAGGGUCCGAACCCCCGUGAAAGAACAAGGGGUAUGCGAUGUCGGGCGAAAGGGGGUCUCGAAGCCUCUUCUUUUUUUUCAGGGGAGAAAAGGGGCUCGAACCCAAAGCGUACCCAAACCUUCAACCCCUAAAACAAACUCUGAAUCUGAACUCUAAAGGGGGGCCGCCGCCGCGGUUUCGUCCGCCGCAGCCUCCUCAACCUUUAACGUUG
rnacentral:misc_RNA from 1 species